UACGGGGGGGGCAAGCGUUGUUCGGAAUUACUGGGCGUAAAGGGCUCGUAGGCGGCCAACUAAGUCAGACGUGAAAUCCCUCGGCUUAACCGGGGAACUGCGUCUGAUACUGGAUGGCUAGAGGUUGGGAGAGGGAUGCGGAAUUCCAGGUGUAGCGGUGAAAUGCGUAGAUAUCUGAAGGAACAUCAGUGGCGAAAGCGACUUCCUGGACCAAUACUGACGCUCAUGUGCGAAAGCGUGGGGAGCAAACAGG
rnacentral:rRNA from 1 species